GGUUAAGCGACUAAGCGUACACGGUGGAUGCCCUGGCAGUCAGAGGCGAUGAAGGACGUGCUAAUCUGCGAAAAGCGUCGGUAAGGUGAUAUGAACCGUUAUAACCGGCGAUGUCCGAAUGGGGAAACCCAGUGCAAUUCGUUGCACUAUCGUUUGAUGAAUACAUAGUCAAACGAGGCGAACCGGGGGAACUGAAACAUCUAAGUACCCCGAGGAAAAGAAAUCAACCGAGAUUCCCCCAGUAGCGGCGAGCGAACGGGGAGCAGCCCGGAGUCUGAAUCAGCUUGUGUGUUAGUGGAAGCGUCUGGAAAGUCGCAGGGUACAGGGUGAUACUCCCGUACACUAAAACGCACAGGCUGUGAACUCGAAGAGUAGGGCGGGACACGUGGUAUCCUGUCUGAAUAUGGGGGGACCAUCCUCCAAGGCUAAAUACUCCUGACUGACCGAUAGUGAACCAGUACCGUGAGGGAAAGGCGAAAAGAACCCCGGCGAGGGGAGUGAAAAAGAACCUGAAACCGUGUACGUACAAGCAGUAGGAGCCCCACCACCAAAGCGUUUCGCUUUGCGUGGUGCGCAAAAUGCGUAACGACAGCAUGAUGGACGGUUAACGGAGCGUCAGCGACGUUCAACCUCAAAAAUCAGGCAGUGGAGCGUUUUGGGGUGGGGUGACUGCGUACCUUUUGUAUAAUGGGUCAGCGACUUAUAUUCUGUAGCAAGGUUAACCGAAUAGGGGAGCCGCAGGGAAACCGAGUCUUAACUGGGCGUUAAGUUGCAGGGUAUAGACCCGAAACCCGGUGAUCUAGCCAUGGGCAGGUUGAAGGUUGGGUAACACUAACUGGAGGACCGAACCGACUAAUGUUGAAAAAUUAGCGGAUGACUUGUGGCUGGGGGUGAAAGGCCAAUCAAACCGGGAGAUAGCUGGUUCUCCCCGAAAGCUAUUUAGGUAGCGCCUCGUGAACUCAUCUUCGGGGGUAGAGCACUGUUUCGGCUAGGGGGUCAUCCCGACUUACCAACCCGAUGCAAACUACGAAUACCGAAGAAUGUUAUCACGGGAGACACACGGCGGGUGCUAACGUCCGUCGUGAAGAGGGAAACAACCCAGACCGCCAGCUAAGGUCCCAAAGUCAUGGUUAAGUGGGAAACGAUGUGGGAAGGCCCAGACAGCCAGGAUGUUGGCUUAGAAGCAGCCAUCAUUUAAAGAAAGCGUAAUAGCUCACUGGUCGAGUCGGCCUGCGCGGAAGAUGUAACGGGGCUAAACCAUGCACCGAAGCUGCGGCAGCGACACUAUGUGUUGUUGGGUAGGGGAGCGUUCUGUAAGCCGUUGAAGGUGGCCUGUGAGGGUUGCUGGAGGUAUCAGAAGUGCGAAUGCUGACAUAAGUAACGAUAAUGCGGGUGAAAAACCCGCACGCCGGAAGACCAAGGGUUCCUGUCCAACGUUAAUCGGGGCAGGGUGAGUCGACCCCUAAGGCGAGGCCGAAAGGCGUAGUCGAUGGGAAACAGGUUAAUAUUCCUGUACUUGGUGUUACUGCGAAGGGGGGACGGAGAAGGCUAUGUUGGCCGGGCGACGGUUGUCCCGGUUUAAGCAUGUAGGCGGAUGUUCCAGGUAAAUCCGGAACGUUAUUAACGCUGAGGUGUGAUGACGAGGCACUACGGUGCUGAAGUGACAAAUGCCCUGCUUCCAGGAAAAGCCUCUAAGCAUCAGGUAACAUCAAAUCGUACCCCAAACCGACACAGGUGGUCAGGUAGAGAAUACCAAGGCGCUUGAGAGAACUCGGGUGAAGGAACUAGGCAAAAUGGUGCCGUAACUUCGGGAGAAGGCACGCUGAUGGUAAGUGAAGCGACUUGCUCGUGGAGCUGAAAUCAGUCGAAGAUACCAGCUGGCUGCAACUGUUUAUUAAAAACACAGCACUGUGCAAACACGAAAGUGGACGUAUACGGUGUGACGCCUGCCCGGUGCCGGAAGGUUAAUUGAUGGGGUUAUCCUCACGGAGAAGCUCUUGAUCGAAGCCCCGGUAAACGGCGGCCGUAACUAUAACGGUCCUAAGGUAGCGAAAUUCCUUGUCGGGUAAGUUCCGACCUGCACGAAUGGCGUAAUGAUGGCCAGGCUGUCUCCACCCGAGACUCAGUGAAAUUGAACUCGCUGUGAAGAUGCAGUGUACCCGCGGCAAGACGGAAAGACCCCGUGAACCUUUACUAUAGCUUGACACUGAACACUGGUCCUUGAUGUGUAGGAUAGGUGGGAGGCUUUGAAGUGUGGACGCCAGUCUGCAUGGAGCCAUCCUUGAAAUACCACCCUUUAAUGGCUGGUGUUCUAACGUGGGCCCGUGAUCCGGGUUGCGGACAGUGUCUGGUGGGUAGUUUGACUGGGGCGGUCUCCUCCUAAAGAGUAACGGAGGAGCACGAAGGUCAGCUAAUCCUGGUCGGACAUCAGGAGGUUAGUGCAAUGGCAUAAGCUGGCUUGACUGCGAGCGUGACGGCGCGAGCAGGUGCGAAAGCAGGUCAUAGUGAUCCGGUGGUUCUGAAUGGAAGGGCCAUCGCUCAACGGAUAAAAGGUACUCCGGGGAUAACAGGCUGAUACCGCCCAAGAGUUCAUAUCGACGGCGGUGUUUGGCACCUCGAUGUCGGCUCAUCACAUCCUGGGGCUGAAGUAGGUCCCAAGGGUAUGGCUGUUCGCCAUUUAAAGUGGUACGCGAGCUGGGUUUAGAACGUCGUGAGACAGUUCGGUCCCUAUCUGCCGUGGGCGCUGGAGAAUUGAGGGGGGCUGCUCCUAGUACGAGAGGACCGGAGUGGACGCAUCACUGGUGUUCGGGUUGUCAUGCCAAUGGCAUUGCCCGGUAGCUAAAUGCGGAAGAGAUAAGUGCUGAAAGCAUCUAAGCACGAAACUUGCCCCGAGAUGAGUUCUCCCUGACUCCUUGAGAGUCCUGAAGGAACGUUGAAGACGACGACGUUGAUAGGCCGGGUGUGUAAGCGCAGCGAUGCGUUGAGCUAACCGGUACUAAUGAACCGUGAGGCUUAACCUU
rnacentral:rRNA from 1 species